UUGUCAUUCAUUAAAACAAAGCUACCAGUGACAAAUGCAUUCCCAAGGAGAAGGGUCAGACAUUUCCAGAUGAUGAUAGUUUGUCUAGGCCAGUUUCUGGACAUGAACGUUUCUUUUAGCCAACUCUGACACACUUCUUUCAUAUUGAAAUGUAAGUGAUCAUUUUUAGCCUUACCUGGGUCUUACUGCAAAUUUGGUCUUAGUGAUCAAUGGGCUUUUUUCCUCCUGCCUCUCCAAUCUUACAAAAGGAAAAAGAGUUAUGCCAGUCAUAUGCUAUUUGUUAUUCCCGAGUGAUUUAUCACAGAGGACUCGACCCACAGUCUUUGUACGGUACCAAACAAAGCUACAGUGAACUGACUGGGGUGCAACAAAACCUAGUGUGUGUAACGCAUCCUGAGCCACGCUGGCUGUGCACAAUAAGCUGAAUGUCUCUGUGAUGGGAUCUGUACAGUACUGCAUUCUUGUACAGGAAUAUGCAUGAAAGCUUCCGUAGUCAAGCCCAUCCUCUUUAAAUCCAAGUUGCUUGAAAGACCUGACUUUGAGCUCCAUAGGGUGUGAAAGAAAAGGCUAUUCAGAUUUUAUGAUGAGACUGGGUGAAUGCUGGUUUCGUUUGCACCUUCAUGAAUCUGGUUGCUAGGUGGGAAUAAAAAGCAUCAGUCUUUUCAGGCUUUUUACACCAUGGUGCUUUCGACAAACUGAGGAUACAGCCCAACACAGUCUAUAGAAAGCCAGGCUGUCCCAAGUGCUACCCUAGAUAGCAAAACAGGGGACUUGCUUCAUGCCAAGCAGGCUAAGCACCAGAGAGGGUGAAUAAAUGGGUCGGGCACCUUGGGUUGGCCUCAGCUGUGUUUAUAGGAGAAAUAUUUCCAAUUUUCUUUGCAGGGCUAUAUGACCCUGUUAGUCCCACAUGUUGAGCCUGGAUUUGCUGUAACUCAGCAGAGGUUGGUGGCAUCACAGUGAUGUAAAAUUCUCCCUAAAGCAAGAACCAAACUGGGACCAAGUAUGAAUUUUGCUCUAAGGUGGAAGUGAAUCCCUCCCUCAGAAGUGAAUUGGAUGGUUUGUGCUGAGUUUUAGCCUGAUUUCAUAAGAAAGCACUGACUUUGGCAGACGUUUGUUGUUCUCAAACUGUAAACAGACCCUUGUUCCCUGGGCUCAGGAAACUCAGCUUGGAAGUUGUACACAGCUCUCUUCUGAUGCUGUGAUGCCAAACCCCACUCGGUGAAGACCUCUUAAAAAAGAAAUCUCAUUUCUAGCUCUAAAUCUGAAGACACUCCUUAUGGACAGAUAACUCCCACCUCAAGCACAUGCAAUAUGGUGACAACAGCCUUGGAUCAGAUAAUGCUGCUGACCUCUGUGUGCUCAGAACUUAUUGACUAACACUAGGCUAUAGCUGCUGCUUUCUCCUUCAUCAGUUUCCUUCUUAAAUUCCUGGGAUUAAAGGGGAAAAGCCUCAGAAAUAAAUAUGCUGGAUUUCAUCUGAAUUCACCCUAGAGCAUGUGUUAAGCAAGAAUUACUGACUCCAUUUGCCAUGCAUCACUGGGGAAUUUCAGUCUUUCAUUGAGUUUCCCUAUUUUCCACUGAGGAAUGUGAUGGGUGCACCUGCUGCGGGCUGGGCCAGAUCCUGCCAACUCCUGAGACUUCAUCAGAAACUUCCUGACCUGAGAGAUCAGCAGGACUGGGUCUGUUCCUGAUGUUGUCUCGUACUGAAGAUCCUGUUGUUCAAGUUUGAACCAGCUGAACAGAAAAUCUGCAGGUUGGGAAGAAAUAGGGGACUGGGCUCCUGUUGUCUGUUGCACUGAAUGCCUUCCAGAAAAGCUGGAGCUGAACUUCUUAGACAAUUUCUUAAGCAAGUGGAAAAUGAAUGGUAUGCUUGAAUUGCCACUUACAGCUUGAGCAGAGAUCAGAAGGAACUGUUUACUCUUGCCUGGACUUCAUUUCAAUUUUGGAACAUUAGAAGGGCUUUGGAAUAAUGUGCUUCAAAGGAGAUGUUGGAAAUCUGAUCUUGCUAGGGUAAAUGUCACUUUACUUUGCAAUGUAGAAAUACAAGCCACUGGAAGGCUUUUCUAGUCUUAGUUAAAUUCAGAGCUGGUGCAACUUCACAUACACCGAUGACAUUGGUGAUGCCACUUCUUCUCCCCACCCCUGUUCUGAAUUUGGCAUCCAGGCCUGAAGUUUGUUGUGUUAUCAGCUACAAAAGGUGAUCACUGUGAAGUGCUGAACUCAUGGUUUUCCAAGACCAUUGCACAGGGCUGAGGAGCAACCUUGAUGUUGCUUUUGGGCUGUUGGAUGCUGAACUUCAGCACAUUCAUAGGGACCACUUUGCUCCCACAGGAAGAUGUAGGCAACUGUUACUGGCCUCUGUUCAGGCAUAGGGCCAAGGGUGGGCAUUUCUGGAGCAGAAGGAGGGUGUUGAAGAGUGUAUGGUACUUGCCCAUCUUCAUCUGCUCCUUUUGAGCUUGCUCUCAGUCAGGUUGAACAGACCCAUGCACAAGUCCCUGCUACCUUCCCAAACCCCUCAGCACUUACCUUGACAGUAUCAGCCAAUUCCCACUCUGCAAGCCCACGGUGCCAGUCUGCAAAAUUGGAUUAAAGCAUUGAUUUAGAGGAAUGUCCAUGAUUCCCUGUGUGGCUGUCCUGCCUUCCUCCUGCUGUCAUGGAUGCUUCUCUCCCACCUUGAAGAAAAAUGUUGUCUUUUGACUUCAGAGCUUUUCUUCCCUUUCCAGCUUGAAAACACAGCUCCCAUCCACAUUCCCAUUUUGUUUUCAGCACCAGGAUCACCAAACCCUGACUUUUUCUACCUGUCAGAGGUGCGAUGGCCUCUCAGCUCUUGAGAAGGAUUUUAUGGUCUCCAGCUCCACCGUGUUAACCAAAUGCAAUAGCUCUUGAUAGGUCCUGCAGGGUGCAGAACACCUCCUAGAAAUGCAGUGUGUCCUCAGUGACCACUGGAGUCAGUAGAUGGUUACACACCCUGUCCUUAGUGAAGCAUCAACUGAGGCAUGUCCUAGCUGAGAUGGCCUGACCCACACUGCCAGAGGUAUUCAGAUGUCUGGUAGGAUUCACAAAGUUCCUCACUAAGUUGAACACCUAAAACCCAUCAAUAUUUCACUCUGGGUAAACAUCUAAUUUGCCUUAAACUGGGAAGUCACCAUUCGUUGGCUUUAACCUUCAACCUUUAGCGGUCCCCAGUCCUGUGGUGUGGAGCAAACACCAUCUCAGCUCUUUGAAGGCAAACCAGGCACUGCUGGGCUGCCAUAAUCAACAUUUGGUCAUGUAAAAAGCCUCCUUUGCUCUUUUCAGGGCACAGAAUUGGGUUUGGCAGAGCUGCAGAGCCAUCGCAGUGUUUUACAAGCUCAGUACCAUCAGGGCACUUCAGAUACUUUUUGCUUUUCUGGUGCAGUGUGUCUGGAAAUCAGUGAACUUGGACUUGUCUUCCCAUUUCCAAAUUCAAGUGCCAAAAGAGAAGAACAUGCUGCAACUGAAUUCCAUUAAAACCAGCUUUAUUAUAUGUAGAUAAAUAUAGUCUCAAGGGCUCCAUUUUGGUGCUAAGAUAUGUCAACGCUUUAUUUUCCAUUGCUUGGGAUUACAAAGCUGAUUCUUUACUCCAGGAAAUAUUUUCUGUGAUCUGCAACAUCUUAAGCAUUAUGAUUUAUUUCCUUUUUUGUGCCUGUAGAUUUUUUUUACUCAGAUACGCUCAACAAAUACACCAACCCCCAAUCAUGGGAGUUUAGGAGAUGUUUUAUACAGUAUAUUUAUGUAAAAACUCUUUCAAAAUGGGGUUGCAUGUAUAUUUUCCCCUCAGUGAUAUCCUUUAUCACAUCCGCUGACCCAGAACUAAAGGAAUCUGUUACUCAGGAUUGGAUCCAGCAGUAACUGAGGUUAGUGGAAAGGCCCUGACAGAUUCCUUCUCCUAGCAGGCAGAAAUCUAUCUGAAAUCUGCCAAACUUAACAAGAGAGGGCUUGUGUCCUUAGGUGCUCAUGAAAUCCCAAUAAAACAGCAGAAGCAUUUAAUAUUCUCAUUUAUUCUUUGGUACAAUAGUCUAGCAAGAAGUGUAAAUGAUCUUAAUGGCUGCAUUUAGAAUAUUAGCCAGUUAUCAAAGAUGAGAGGUUUACAGCCCAGUAGUCAUUUAAAUGUCAGCUGUGCUGCAGAAGAAGAGUGGUUUUGCAGUGAUUUCAUGCCACGCACUGGAAUUCUCUUGUAGAAGAUGACGCGUGAACAGCACAAAACCAACAUGGGUCAUAGUUUUAAAUUCUCAUGGCCUUUCUCUUGUUUUGGUCUUUCAUGUUAAUUCUUACCCUGAAAAAUGUCUCAUGUUUCUAAUGUAAAACUCCAGCCUCUGUAAUGGCCCAUGACAGAGCACACCAGCAAAAUACAUUAUUAUCCAUCAUCACACUAUAGAUGAGAUGGUUGUUGACAAGUAGUUAGAUCAGGUGAGACAAGGAGAUCUUGCUUCACACCUUCUUGAAGAAGCUGUCUAUGCAUCCUGAAAGGCAGAUGUUCCCCACAGUUCACUGUGGAGGGACAAAUGUUUCCAGUGAUGCUAUUGCUGAAUAGGUCACACAGCCCAAGUAACCUAAUGCAGCAGGUCAGUUGCUGUGUGCUGCCUACCCACAGAUAUUCCUGGUCUUGAUGUCUGCCAAGGAUGUGGGAGAAGGGAGGGAGGGUUUCAGGGAAGGAAGGAGGGCUUGAGAUAUCUUUAUAGGGAAGGGCCUCUCCCAACAGAAUGCACAGCUAUGGUCCAUAAGCAUCAUUCCUGAAGGCUUCUCUUGAGUAUCUUUCAGAGCAAAGAUGGUUUGAAUCCCAAGAGGGCCAGAUGAGAUGAAGGAAAGAAGCUGGCAAUACGCUUGAGAGAUACAAUGCUGAAAGGUUUGUAUUUUGUUUCCCUGGUGGAGAUACAGAGAUUUAGCUCAGGUGGGUCUAUACUUGGCUGAACAGUAGGGAAAAUAAGUCUUUUCCUUGUAUCAAACUCCUGUGAAUUUUCUGGCUUUGGAGGGGCUGAAGAACCUCCUCUUGCACCUUUCAGACCUCCAUAGGAAAUGUCAGGGGGUAAAACCUGAGCUCUCUCCCAUAGAAAAAAUGACAUUGUUCUGAGUUCAGGUUGUAGGUCUACAAAACACUCUGUGUUCUGAUGUGACAGGAAGAAAACGAUCAUCCCCAAGUCACCCCACCUGCUUGUUGUUGCUCAGUCUCAUGGGAGAUUAUGGACCUUAUAUCUGCUUAUAAAUUAGUGCAUCAAAUUGCCCAAUCUCAGUUCCACCAAACCUUGAACAGGAUGUACCAUGUGGGGACAAGGCAAUCACUUAAACCCUUCUGUCUCUUAUGAACAACAGAAAUUAGCUCCGCAUAACCAGCAGUUAUGGUCCAUUCGUGGUGAUGCACGUUGGAAACCUUUGAAUUGAUUGCAUUCCAGUUUGUACUGAAGAUUUUCUUCAAACUCUGUGUAUAUAAUCCCUUUGGUGUGUUACAAAUAUGUAUGUGUGUAUAUAUAUGUAUAUAUGUGUGUGUGUAUAUGUACGUGUAUAUAUAUACAUAUAAAUCAAUCAAUGCUGGUGUUUUUACUUUUUGAAGUUCACAGGGCAAAGGGCAUGUUGUUAGUUUGCUGUAAGAUUCUAUUCUGUAUAUAUGUUUUCAUGUAAAUAAAUGAAAAUCUAUAUUCAGAGUUAUAUUUUAAUUUUUAUUCAAAAUGAAAUAAAUCCCCUUUUUACUUCAAACAAUUGUAAGCCACAUUGUUAAUAAAGUAACAAUAAGUCA